rnacentral:rRNA from 1 species
CCCUUAGAUGUUCUGGGCCGCACGCGCGCUACACUGAUCGGUGCAACAAGCAUCCGUCCUUGGCCGACAGGCCCGGGCAAUCUUUGAACGCCGGUCGUGAUGGGGAUAGACCUUUGCAAUUUUUGGUCUUCAACGAGGAAUUCCUAGUAAACGCAAGUCAUCAACUUGCAUUGAUUACGUCCCUGCCCUUUGUACACACCGCCCGUCGCACCUACCGAUUGAAUGGUCCGGUGAAGCCUCCGGAUUGGCGCGCACCUCGGUGCCGCCGAGAAGUUGGCUAAACCUUACCAUUUAGAGGAAGGUGAAGUCGUANCA